UUAUCACGGGAGACACACGGCGGGUGCUAACGUCCGUCGUGAAGAGGGAAACAACCCAGACCGCCAGCUAAGGUCCCAAAGUCAUGGUUAAGUGGGAAACGAUGUGGGAAGGCCCAGACAGCCAGGAUGUUGGCUUAGAAGCAGCCAUCAUUUAAAGAAAGCGUAAUAGCUCACUGGUCGAGUCGGCCUGCGCGGAAGAUGUAACGGGGCUAAACCAUGCACCGAAGCUGCGGCAGCGACACUAUGUGUUGUUGGGUAGGGGAGCGUUCUGUAAGCCUGCGAAGGUGUGCUGUGAGGCAUGCUGGAGGUAUCAGAAGUGCGAAUGCUGACAUAAGUAACGAUAAAGCGGGUGAAAAGCCCGCUCGCCGGAAGACCAAGGGUUCCUGUCCAACGUUAAUCGGGGCAGGGUGAGUCGACCCCUAAGGCGAGGCCGAAAGGCGUAGUCGAUGGGAAACAGGUUAAUAUUCCUGUACUUGGUGUUACUGCGAAGGGGGGACGGAGAAGGCUAUGUUGGCCGGGCGACGGUUGUCCCGGUUUAAGCGUGUAGGCUGGUUUUCCAGGCAAAUCCGGAAAAUCAAGGCUGAGGCGUGAUGACGAGGCACUACGGUGCUGAAGCAACAAAUGCCCUGCUUCCAGGAAAAGCCUCUAAGCAUCAGGUAACAUCAAAUCGUACCCCAAACCGACACAGGUGGUCAGGUAGAGAAUACCAAGGCGCUUGAGAGAACUCGGGUGAAGGAACUAGGCAAAAUGGUGCCGUAACUUCGGGAGAAGGCACGCUGAUAUGUAGGUGAAGUCCCUCGCGGAUGGAGCUGAAAUCAGUCGAAGAUACCAGCUGGCUGCAACUGUUUAUUAAAAACACAGCACUGUGCAAACACGAAAGUGGACGUAUACGGUGUGACGCCUGCCCGGUGCCGGAAGGUUAAUUGAUGGGGUCAGCGCAAGCGAAGCUCUUGAUCGAAGCCCCGGUAAACGGCGGCCGUAACUAUAACGGUCCUAAGGUAGCGAAAUUCCUUGUCGGGUAAGUUCCGACCUGCACGAAUGGCGUAAUGAUGGCCAGGCUGUCUCCACCCGAGACUCAGUGAAAUUGAACUCGCUGUGAAGAUGCAGUGUACCCGCGGCAAGACGGAAAGACCCCGUGAACCUUUACUAUAGCUUGACACUGAACAUUGAGCCUUGAUGUGUAGGAUAGGUGGGAGGCUUUGAAGUGUGGACGCCAGUCUGCAUGGAGCCGACCUUGAAAUACCACCCUUUAAUGUUUGAUGUUCUAACGUUGACCCGUAAUCCGGGUUGCGGACAGUGUCUGGUGGGUAGUUUGACUGGGGCGGUCUCCUCCUAAAGAGUAACGGAGGAGCACGAAGGUUGGCUAAUCCUGGUCGGACAUCAGGAGGUUAGUGCAAUGGCAUAAGCCAGCUUGACUGCGAGCGUGACGGCGCGAGCAGGUGCGAAAGCAGGUCAUAGUGAUCCGGUGGUUCUGAAUGGAAGGGCCAUCGCUCAACGGAUAAAAGGUACUCCGGGGAUAACAGGCUGAUACCGCCCAAGAGUUCAUAUCGACGGCGGUGUUUGGCACCUCGAUGUCGGCUCAUCACAUCCUGGGGCUGAAGUAGGUCCCAAGGGUAUGGCUGUUCGCCAUUUAAAGUGGUACGCGAGCUGGGUUUAGAACGUCGUGAGACAGUUCGGUCCCUAUCUGCCGUGGGCGCUGGAGAACUGAGGGGGGCUGCUCCUAGUACGAGAGGACCGGAGUGGACGCAUCACUGGUGUUCGGGUUGUCAUGCCAAUGGCACUGCCCGGUAGCUAAAUGCGGAAGAGAUAAGUGCUGAAAGCAUCUAAGCACGAAACUUGCCCCGAGAUGAGUUCUCCCUGACCCUUUAAGGGUCCUGAAGGAACGUUGAAGACGACGACGUUGAUAGGCCGGGUGUGUAAGCGCAGCGAUGCGUUGAGCUAACCGGUACUAAUGAACCGUGAGGCUUAACCUU
rnacentral:rRNA from 1 species